rnacentral:rRNA from 1 species
ACACUAAGGUGAGCGAGUGAACUAUUGUUAAGGAACUCUGCAAAAUGAGUCCGUAACUUCGGAAGAAGGACUGCUGGUUUUAUACCAGCCGCAGCAAAUAGGCCCAAACAACUGUUUAUCAAAAACACAGGUUUCUGCAAAAUCGUAAGAUGAAGUAUAGGGGCUGACGCCUGCCCAGUGCUGGAAGGUUAAAAGGAGGACUUAGCUUCGGCGAAGGUCUUAAUUGAAGCCCCAGUGAACGGCGGCCGUAACUAUAACGGUCCUAAGGUAGCGAAAUUCCUUGUCGGGUAAGUUCCGACCCGCAUGAAAGGCGUAAUGAUUUGGGCGCUGUCUCAACAAUAGACUCGGUGAAAUUUAAAUUCCAGUGAAGAUGCUGGGUACCCGCGACAGGACGGAAAGACCCCGUGGAGCUUUACUGUAGCUUGAUAUUGAAUGUUUGUGCUGCAUGUGCAGGAUAGGUAGGAGACUUUGAAGUCGGAACGCUAGUUUCGAUUGAGUCACCCUUGAGAUACUACCUCUGUUGUAUGAACGUUCUAACUCUGAUCAGUUAUCCUGAUCGAAGACAGUGUCUGGCAGGCAGUUUGACUGGGGCGGUCGCCUCCUAAAAGA